CGGCAGCACGGAGCUUGCUCUGGUGGCGAGUGGCGAACGGGUGAGUAAUAUAUCGGAACGUACCCUAGAGUGGGGGAUAACGUAGCGAAAGUUACGCUAAUACCGCAUACGAUCUAAGGAUGAAAGUGGGGGAUCGCAAGACCUCAUGCUCGUGGAGCGGCCGAUAUCUGAUUAGCUAGUUGGUAGGGUAAAAGCCUACCAAGGCAUCGAUCAGUAGCUGGUCUGAGAGGACGACCAGCCACACUGGAACUGAGACACGGUCCAGACUCCUACGGGAGGCAGCAGUGGGGAAUUUUGGACAAUGGGCGAAAGCCUGAUCCAGCAAUGCCGCGUGAGUGAAGAAGGCCUUCGGGUUGUAAAGCUCUUUUGUCAGGGAAGAAACGGUGAGAGCUAAUAUCUCUUGCUAAUGACGGUACCUGAAGAAUAAGCACCGGCUAACUACGUGCCAGCAGCCGCGGUAAUACGUAGGGUGCAAGCGUUAAUCGGAAUUACUGGGCGUAAAGCGUGCGCAGGCGGUUUUGUAAGUCUGAUGUGAAAUCCCCGGGCUCAACCUGGGAAUUGCAUUGGAGACUGCAAGGCUAGAAUCUGGCAGAGGGGGGUAGAAUUCCACGUGUAGCAGUGAAAUGCGUAGAUAUGUGGAGGAACACCGAUGGCGAAGGCAGCCCCCUGGGUCAAGAUUGACGCUCAUGCACGAAAGCGUGGGGAGCAAACAGGAUUAGAUACCCUGGUAGUCCACGCCCUAAACGAUGUCUACUAGUUGUCGGGUCUUAAUUGACUUGGUAACGCACUAACGCGUGAAGUAGACCGCCUGGGGAGUACGGUCGCAAGAUUAAAACUCAAAGGAAUUGACGGGGACCCGCACAAGCGGUGGAUGAUGUGGAUUAAUUCGAUGCAACGCGAAAAACCUUACCUACCCUUGACAUGGCUGGAAUCCUUGAGAGAUCAGGGAGUGCUCGAAAGA
rnacentral:rRNA from 1 species